rnacentral:lncRNA from 1 species
GUUCAACAUGCACUGUGUGAGUACACACAGUACAAAUCUCCUCAAAGGAUCUACAGAUGAAAGGAGCUUCCUUGUAGCUUUCUCAACUUUCUUUUUUUGGGAGUUCAGGAUGUGGUUUUCAUCCCAACUUGCAUGUCCAUGCUGUCUUCCAGCCUCUCAGAGACUUCUCUCAACUCCUCAUGCGUUCUGCAACAACUCUUCAAGGGUAACGAGUUGCUACGCAGGAGACCCUGUACACCUAUUCAGGAUGUGUUCACCAUCCCUCAAGUGCCACAGCCUCACAAGCUUUCAUUAAC